UGGCGGACGGGUGAGUAAUGUCUGGGAAACUGCCUGAUGGAGGGGGAUAACUACUGGAAACGGUAGCUAAUACCGCGUAACGUCGCAAGACCAAAGAGGGGGACCUUCGGGCCUCUUGCCAUCGGAUGUGCCCAGAUGGGAUUAGCUAGUAGGUGGGGUAACGGCUCACCUAGGCGACGAUCCCUAGCUGGUCUGAGAGGAUGACCAGCCACACUGGAACUGAGACACGGUCCAG
rnacentral:rRNA from 1 species